rnacentral:rRNA from 1 species
AUUGAACGCUGGCGGCAGGCCUAACACAUGCAAGUCGAGCGGAUGAAGGGAGCUUGCUCCUGGAUUCAGCGGCGGACGGGUGAGUAAUGCCUAGGAAUCUGCCUGGUCGUGGGGGCUAACGUCCGGAAACGGGCGCUAAUACCGCAUACGUCCUGAGGGUGAAAGGGGGGGAUCUUCGGACCUCACGCUAUCAGAUGAGCCUAGGUUGGAUUAGCUAGUUGGUGGGGUAAAGGCCUACCAAGGCGACGAUCCGUAACUGGUCUGAGAGGAUGAUCAGUCACACUGGAACUGAGACACGGUCCAGACUCCUACGGGAGGCAGCAGUGGGGAAUAUUGGACAAUGGGCGAAAGCCUGAUGCAGCCAUGCCGCGUGUGUGAAGAAGGUCUUCGGAUUGUAAAGCACUUUAAGUUGGGAGGAAGAGCAGUAAGUUAAUACCUGGCUGUUUUGACGUUACCAACAGAAUAAGCACCGGCUAACUUCGUG